rnacentral:tRNA from 1 species
GCCUUCGUGAUGUAAUGGUCAACACGUUAGGCGCGUAUUUGAGAGGUUCGUGGUUCGAGUCCCGGCGAGGGCA